UAAACAUGAAUCUUCAAAUACAUCCUUAAAUUUUGGUCAUGUUGAUUUAUUACUAGAUGCUCUUGAUAUGUGAUGAUCAUCAGUUAGAAUCAAAGCCUGUGCUGGUCACAUUGACAGAAUUCUUAUGUUUCUCUCUGAAACACAGUCUAUUUACAUGUAUUACACUUUGGUGCAAAAUGCUGACCACUAUUUAUUUCAACUGAUGGCAUCUAAGCUUGGGUAAGACGCUGCAGUUUCUUUUUUCAUGAACUCUGAAGCAGACCUCCUCAACUCUGAACAGAUCUUGCAAUGUCUCUUUCAGUGUCAAAUGUAUGCAGUAAAGACCUAAGUCUUUAUCUUGAGUUUAAUGUGUUGACUUAUAUAUAGUUAAUGUGUAUGAUUACCUAAAAUAAUCACUUUCCUCCUUGAUGCUCACAGCACCUCUGGGUGAGAUGAUGCCCCUGAGCUGCGGGCUCUCCUUCAUGCUUCCCUGGCAUUACCCUCGGCACUGCCUGUAACUUCUGCUUGGACAAGAAAAUCCGCAAAACCCGGCUUAUGUAAUUUCACAUGGAUGAGUUCAGCAACGCAGAGCAACCCCUGAGGACAUCCAUGGUGUCAUUCCACACGGGAAGAGGAAGCUGGAAAGACUACAGUGGUUUUGGCUACCAGCAUGGAUAUUUAUUUCAAAAAAUUUUGCGAGGAGGAUAAAUAAAAAGUUAAAUGCGUAAAGGUAAGGAAUGAGAUAAUUAUGGAGGAACCAACUGCAUACAAAGGUAAUAUAAGGCCUUGGGGGGGCCAUCUGUCACCUACCCCCACCCUGUCCAGUGCUUUGGCAUAUUUUUUUUACGACUCUGAUAGAUACCACUGGACAGUCAACUGUGAAUGAAUGCAAUCCAGUUGGUAAAUUGCUUAUUUAGGUUACAAAAUUUUCCCUGUAAUUUUUGUGUCUCCUCAUUUCGUAGUAUGACAGCUAGUGUUUUAGGGAGGUACCUUGGAAUCCAUCCUUUUUUUUCACCCAGUUUAUAACCCAGGAGCAAACCUGUCCCCCAGUUUUGUAAUCUAGAUCUUGCAAAACCGGAAGAUUCACUAAGCAGCCCCGGCUGUGUGCGGCACGGUGAGCGUAGGAUGGUACAUACAGUGAGCCCCACACAUGGAAGGCUUCCAGCAGGCCCAUCUAGGGUUCAAGUCAAAUACAGGAGGAGGAGACCUCCGAACAGCUGCGAGAUGCACCCAGCUAGGACCAGCCAUCCUUCGCGUACAUUAUCAGGUAGAAUGUGUUGAUGAACUUCUUUUGUAUGACUGUUUUUUUAAAGGAAUUUUAAGUUUACAGCGAAAUAGAGGGGAAGACACAGAGAUUUCCUGUGGACUCUGCUCCUACCGUGUGCAUAGGGUCCCCUGUUAUCAACACUCACUAGCAUGGUACUUUUUUUUUCCUUUUCUUACCCAAAGAUAAACCUAUAUAGACAUAUCAUUUUCACCCAAAGUCUCUAGUUUACCUUAGGGUUCUCUCUUGCUGUUGUACAUCCUAUGGGUUUGGACCAAUGUAUAAUAAUACAUAUCCAUCAUGAGACUGUCAUACAGAGUAUAUUCACUGCCUUAAAAUCCUCUGUGCUUUGUCUCUUCAUCUCUCUCUGUCCAUCACCCCUGGCGACCAACCGCUGGCCUUCUACUGUUUCUACCAUAGUUUUGUCUUUUCCAAAAUGUCACACAGUUGGAAUCCUACAAUCUAUAGACUUUUCAGAUCGGCUUCCUUCACACAGUAAUAUGCAUUUAUGCUUCCUCCGUGUCUUGUCGUGGCUUGAUUGCUCUCCCUUUUUGGCCCUGAAUAGUAUUUCAUGG